GGGCACUAGCUCAACUGGCAGAGCAUCGGUCUCCACAACCGAAGGUUGGGGGUUC
rnacentral:tRNA from 1 species